ACUCAGAGUACUGGCGAGGAGAGCUGGUUGCAGAUGUGAGCCUGCAGGCUCCAGGGCUGUUACUCAGCAGACUUCACCAGAAGGAAAAAUUACUGAAGAAAAAAAAAUAUAAAUAAUACAAAAACAGGACAUAACAGGAGGAGUAGCCUUAAGUACCUUAAAUUAGGGGAACUGAAAGUCGUCUCACUGCACCAUGACAUUUUAAGCGAAGUCAUUAUAAUUAAUCUUCUUUUAAUACAGAAUAAUAGUCUAAGAAAAUGCAACACAAGCCAUACUUCUCCUGCUAACAUGUAACCAGGAGACAGAGUGGAUUUGAAGUAAGGUGAUCUUUGUAAUAUGGUAGAAAUAAAUUCCUGAAAGCAGCAAUUGAUCGAUAUGGAGAGUGGCAGGUAAAAGCAGUACAAAUACCUUCUCUAAAAGCAUUGGAUAUAGUAAUUCCCACAGCACCAGGAAGAUGUUAGCUAAUGAGCUAUACCCCAUAUAGUGAAGCUUACACCAUAAGCUUCACUAUCUUGUAAAAAAAAAAAAGGAAAAAGAAAAAAAGCCCAGGAAAAAGAGAAAAUCUCCUAGUGUACGGUCAGCAAGUGACAAAUGUGUAUGCUGGGACUCUCUGGAACAGGGGAAAGCCAUGGCCAUGGCUGUGACUCAUUCCUGAAAGACCAGGGCUGAGUGGCACCAAGGAGACUGUUUGCUUUCAUGCUGCAAGUGGAUGUGUGGCUGUGGCACCUACCCCAGGCCAGUCUGGAGGGCAGUGUGAGAGAGUUGAACUGGUGUUGGAGAAACCUGAAAGCCUGUUCUGUUUGUGCACCUUUGAGACAUUUCUCUGCCACUGACAAUAGGUACAGUAAGUAGGAGAGGGUGUUUGCAGGGGAUUCUGCCAUUCCCCAUGGCAGGCAGGAGGUCAGGAUUCACACAGUCCUGCUAAGGUGGUCCUAGGGAGGCCAGGUGUCCUCUGUGAAUGCUGGAGAUCUCUGUCCAGUCCACUUGACCACAACCAAAGGAGCAGAAAAUGGCAAUGGCUUGUACUUCAACUGGAGCCAACCCAUCAGAUCCUGCAGGAAUAGCAGCUCCUGUAUAUAAACUUGACCACCACUUUUUACACCCAUCUACCAAGUAUAUUGUAGAGAUUAUAUUAUACUCCUGUGUAGAGGUGGUGGUGUGUUCAUCACAGCUUGUACUUUAUUCUGGUUGUAUUAUAAAUUCUGUCUCCUACAGAUGUAAGUACAAAUCAAAAAGUGCACAGAAGUGCUGAAGUGCAAUCCCUGUCUCACCAAUUUUACAGACUAACAGUACCCCCAGACAGGGUAAGAUCUCCUUGAUGCCUACUGCUCACUAAGCUUCCAGUCCAACAUUUAAGAUCCUGCCAUUUAUCCAAGCCCUGGCACCCGUAGGACCCUCUCUAUGCUGAUUCAGCUCACUAAUCUGGCAGAAAAAAAUAGUACAACAGAAAAGAGGUAGAUGGUUUAUGCUGAGUUAAUGAAUUGAAUUUACCCCUGGCUUUUUUUGCAUAGGCCAGCUAGAAAUCUCCUUCCCCAGUGAGAUGGUGCUAAUUCUCAUCUCCCACAUCAUUCUCUUUUAGAUUUUCUUUUGAUGUAGGUAAGUAAGCUGAAAAGUGGAAUGUGUACCUUUUGCCCCCCUCUGCCUGGAAAUAUUUUUUUUUGUCACUGCAGGUAGAGCCUGGACUGAACAUUUUCUCCCCAGAACCACAUGGAGCAGGGCUUCAAGGGUGUAAACUGCAUGAAAAAUGGAAAAAAUGCACAGCACACCCUCACCUAUACAUCUGCUCUUCUACCAAAUCUUUUUCUUCCUUCUGUCUGAAGCCCCUCUAAAAGCUCCUUCAGAAUGAUUUGCCUCUAUUUUCAUUCAACCUCCAUCUCUCUGCAGAGAUGCCUGGAGCAAACAGCUUCUCCUGUACUGCAGCUCAUGAACUCACCUACAAUCUGAUUCAAGUGCAGUUAUUAAAGGGUACUGCUGCUCCAUUGUCUUGAGUUAUAUCUAUAUUGCACAAUGUAGUGGAGAUUUAUCAAACUAACCACAAUUAAUUUAGUUAGCACAAUUAGCAGUUUAGCCAGGCUGCCAUGGGGCUGCUAAAGGGUUCAUUUAUCCCUUUAGAAGAUCAACAGAGACAAAUCUUAAUCUGGUAGGUGCAACGAAUAUGUUCAUCCAAAACUGAAGCUGAGGUACACUUUCCAGAAGAAACCAAAAAGCUAACAUCAAUAAAUCCAUAAUUCCAUAGAUUUAUUAAUAUUUUACCAAACACCCUCCAUAGAUUUAUUCAUAUUUUAUAUCCAUAGAUUUUAUUCUUGGAGUAGAGAAAAAAAGAAAAUUGUGAAAGCUCUCGUUUCUUAAUUCUGAUUUUACUACUCGCAGUGCUAAAAGGACAGUUUGCACCUGUGUUAAUCAGCAGGAUCUGUUUGCUGUGGGCACGGAAGUGUAAGAGAGCCAUUGGCAGUGAACAUGUUCCAAUCUGAUGCUGGAAAUAGGAAUCUCACUUUUAAGUGUGGGGACCCUGAAGUAGCUUUACACAAGGGAAGGCACUGUGUGUGAGGAGCACUGAGCUGGACAGGAGUCACUGCACAACCAGUUUGUGGGAGGAACUGUGUCUGCUUGUGACUGCAGAUGAAGUAACUCCUGUUCGAACACCCAAGAGGUAGCUGGGAUGAAGGAUAACUCAGCAGUCAGGUGUUCCCACUGUGAAGGUUCUUCUUCCUAUCUCAUUUAUUAAUAUUCUCCAUGGUUCCCCCAUCUGUCAUAGUGUGCAUUAAACAUGAAGGGAUGAAGUCACCCUUAUCAUUUCCCCUCCCACCUUUGGUGAGAACUGUUUGUGCUUUGGUUAAUUGAAACCUGCUGUGGUUGUUUUCAGGAUUUGCUAAUACCAGGAUUAAUCUGAAGCUACUGUACAAAGAGUGCAUUCUGGCACCUCUGACAAUAGAAUUACUGUGACACUGGUCUCAGCUGGUGUGGCAUCGAGGCUUGAGUAGUGUGGUAGAACUACACCCCUGUGCAUUAUCCUCACAUCAGCUAAAACAGCAGCUUAUCUUUAUUUAAAUUGUCCCAGAAGAAAGGAAAGCUGGAGCACUGAGCCUCUUAUGGGUCAGCUUGCAAUGAGCAUUCAUGAAUUUUAGAAGUCUUUCAUGAGACCAGAAGCAUUGAGAGGGAGAGAACCACAAAGGAGAUCACUGACUUGCUGUUGCCUAAAAAGCUGAAAGGAGAAGAGCAUAUAUACCACAAAUACAGCAAGUUUCCUUUGCCAGGCAGCAGAGCAUCAUAGCAGCAGAAAACACAACUUUCCUCCAAAGACAUAAAAAUGAGCAUGACGAAAGCAGGAGAUAAAGGACCACAGGUAAUGCUGGUAGAGCCCAUUCCACCCUUGGGCAAAGGCAAAGACUAUGUUUGGUCAGGAAAUGUGGAGACGUCACCACAUUCCAAGUGCUGGGUGCAAUUACGGAUGCAGUAGAUCUCUUGCUAGGAUGUGCGCACGAGGAAAUGUUUCCCAGAGAUGGAGUGACUUCGAUGUAAAAAUUCCUCCUUGUCUCAUGGAUUGUGCCAAGGAAAACAGCACUGGGGCAAGGCAAUCUCAGAGCAGGAAGAAGUGAGUCCAUGAAUGAGUCCAGUGUAGCACCAUAAUGGGCAUGAAUGUGUGCUGGCUCUUUGCACAUGGGAGAACUGGAAAAGGCUUUGGGCAGAGCCCUGCCCUGUGGCUGGUUGGUGGUGAUCUCAUCCCAAAACAGAAGAUGGAGAAGGCAAUAAUGGUCUGCCAGGCUUGGCAGUACUGGCAGAGAGAAGGGAAAGGAAGGGAGGGUGGAGUGACCAAAGAAGGAGAGGAAUCAUGUCAGUAAAAUACCUUUUAAAGAAAAUCUUACAUCAAUCCCUGUGUUACUGAACCAAGACAGUCUGAAGUCAGAAGUCAUUAGAGUUCAUUACCCCUGGCAACCUAUGGCCAUUAAUUGUCUCUGGCAGCAAUACCUGAGGUUGAAGGAACAUCGAGGCUAUGGCUCUGAGUGCUGGAAUGUGGAGACAUGAUAGGGCACAAGUACUUUCUUCAUAGAUGUCAAGGAACUUGAAAAAGAUAAAAAUGGUGCCACAUCUAAAAGAACAAUCAAGUGAGCAAGGGGAACAACAAAUCACUGAUAAGCAUUACUCCUUCUGGCACCAAAGUUCAGUGAUCCACAGGAAGAAACACCUUUUCUGAUGAUGACAGACAUGCUCCAUCUAUUGUUUCAUAGCUCUUUACUUUUCCUAUAUUGUCACAUGAUUUUUCAGUCAUAAAGCUCCUUAUUAACUUGGUCUUUAAAUGGUCCACUAAGGAAAUCAACCUAAUUCAGCACUCCUUCCUGUACUAAAAUGGCCUGAGAAUUGAUGAAUCUGGUUUAAACAAAAAACUAAACUUUUCGUCACUACUGCAAAGCAGGAUGGUUGUUCUUACAUAACCUGGAAAGGAGAUUUCUCAGCAGGUUUUCUCUGUCUUUGCUUUCAGGACCAUUCUGGCUGUCUUUCUGGGAAAAAUAAAUAUUUUGGCACCUACAGUUAUCAACCCCUGCCUUUCAGACCCUUUUACCCUCUAAAAGUACUGUGUGCCUUGUAGUCAAUGGUUUUCAAGCCAAAUCUGAGGUCAUGAUCUAGAUUUCAAUAACAAAGUAUCUUCAAAGGGAAUGUUUGAUCUUUCCCUCUGAUACUCAUGGAAAUUCACUUAAGGUCCCCCGCUCCUCUCAGCUCUGGUUAUGGAGGCUGAGAGAGAGGAAUUCUCUCUCACAGAGUGUACCUGUCAGCCACUCUUGAUCAAAGCCUGGCAUCUGGUAUCCAUCCAGGAGCAGAAAAAUAAGUACACAGGUGGAGAAAUGAGGAUCUGAAAUUUGCCCUUGGGUAGCCAGCUUUCCAUAUCAACAUUGUGAGUAUUCUCAACUGUUAAGUUAAAGCUGAGAAGAUAAAUCCCAAAUAUAAGAAAUUAAAAUCAAUAAACUCACCAAGUCCUCCAUGUCACAGUUCAGACUCAUAAAGAGAUACAGCCACUAAAUCCCCACUGUGCUCCUCUUUCACAAUUGCACACAUUAAGAAAAGGGAUGAAAGAGUUAUAUGAAACAUUUGUCUUGGUAUAGGAAUCAGUUAUCUUAAUAUGCAAUAUCAGAAGGAAAUAUUGUCUCAUUUAGACAUCUACCAGCUACAGUCACUACAAUGCUCCCAAAAGAAUGGUAAUUAUUCUCACAGAUGCCUAGAAAUUAAGAAUUAUACUUUCUCUAUGUUUAAUAUCCUAGCUGUGCUUUCAAGGGUCGUCUGUCUUAGUAAAGCUUUGGGGAUCUAAUUCAAUUGCUUUUUGCCUGUCAUUGCUUAUUUAUAAAACACGUCAGAGGCUGGAAAAAUGGAUGAACAAAAUAGACAUGGUCUGCUCAUCGUGCCUCUAGGACUACAUCCUGUCCUCAGCUGUCUCAUUUUGCUAAACAAAGGACAUACCUAAAAAAUGCAUCAGCCUCGAGCUGAUCAUGCCACACAGUAGGGUGGAGACAUAACCACCUUUUGGUACUUUGUGCUGAUUGUUCUGCUAAAACCAGCAGCCAGCUGGUGAUUUUUCACCUCAGCUAACAACAUCUGCAAAGUGUGAGACAUUUGCUCACCUGUGUGCAGACAAAGAAUAAUUUAUAAUGGAUUAUUUACAAGAUCACACCAUUAUGGAAAGCAUUACCAGGAACCCCAGAGUAACACCAAAAUUGAUAAGAUUUGCAGAGACAGCUGAAAUGCAGCCAUUCCUCAAGAGAGACACUGUAGUGCUUGGGGAUGUCCCAUGCAUACGCUAAAGACAAAAUAUUAGUGUAAUAUUACAGGAUGAGAAAAAAAAACCUGAUCUAUAUAAAACUUCCCAACCGAAUCUCUGAGAUGUGUUGGCCACUAUAUUAUUCCGAGAGUUUUCAGCAGCUCAUCUAGUUUGUGUUCCAGGUCAUAAGCACUCAGCUUGAAUUUUUUUUCAUUCCUUACUUGCUUAAAAUUAACCAUAUGUUUAAGUGCUUUCAGGUUGGAAAUGCUUAUGGAUAGGCAGCAUCAAAUUUCAGGCUAACAAAUGCAUAUGGAGUCUUAACAUCUUCCUGUAGGAAAUAAGUGGCAGAGCCUUUCAGCCCUGAGAGUUCUCUCUCUCUGUAUUCUAGGGUAUAUUGUUCUGAUUAACAAACCAUAAGAUGGAUUUCUUUCCAAACAUCUGAUGCCACAUUAAUAAUUUUCUUAAUAAAAAAAAAAAAAAGAGGAAUCA